CCAAACAGGUGAGAAAUGAAUGUUUUUCAGUUUGCCUGUUACAUGGUUGCAUUCACAUGUGAGUAACACUUCCAUCACCUCCGCGUAUUUAUAGACAGAGGACGAAGUACAAUGUGUGUUUUGGGAUUUUAAGAAGAAUGGUGGGCAGGGUGGUUGGAACAACAACGGCUGUGAAACCCAGAGUAUUUCUUCUUAUCAGACCAGCUGUCUCUGUGAUCACCUCACACAUUUCGCUGUCCUCCUGGAUGUAUCCAGAACCCCCAUAAAUCCAGCUGAUAGUUACAUUCUGACAGUGAUCUCAUAUCUUGGUUGUGGCAUAUCCUCCAUUUUUCUCGGCAUCACUCUACUCACCUAUCUUGUUUUUGAGUAAGUCACUCCUACCAAAACCAAAAAUACACACUGUCAUAUGGUUUGGACUGACCAUUUUAUU